AUUGAACGCUGGCGGCAGGCCUAACACAUGCAAGUCGAGCGGAUGAAGGGAGCUUGCUCCUGGAUUCAGCGGCGGACGGGUGAGUAAUGCCUAGGAAUCUACCUUGUAGUGGGGGAUAACGUCCGGAAACGGGCGCUAAUACCGCAUACGUCCCGAGGUAGAAAGUGGGGGAUCUUCGGACCUCACGCUAUUAGAUGAGCCUAGGUCGGAUUAGCUAGUUGGUGGGGUAAAGGCCUACCAAGGCGACGAUCCGUAACUGGUCUGAGAGGAUGAUCAGUCACACUGGAACUGAGACACGGUCCAGACUCCUACGGGAGGCAGCAGUGGGGAAUAUUGGACAAUGGGCGAAAGCCUGAUCCAGCCAUGCCGCGUGUGUGAAGAAGGUCUUCGGAUUGUAAAGCACUUUAAGUUGGGAGGAAGGGCAGUAAGUUAAUACCUGGCUGUUUUGACGUUACCAACAGAAUAAGCACCGGCUAACUUCGUG
rnacentral:rRNA from 1 species